GACCCCACUUGUGGGUGGGGAUGGCUUGUGUUUUCUCACUCCUUCCCAUCUGGACUCAACUCCCUUCAGGAGAGUUCCUAUUUCUUGUCAGCCAGAAGCCACUGUGGUGUUUGCCCCUCCAGGCAUGCUCAGUGUUCUGGCCAGGCUUUGACUUUCAGACAGGCAGCAAUCUGCCAACGGAGCAAGUCCCCAGUGCCCAGGCCCCUUUAAAUCGGGCCGGCCGGUUGCCAGGCAACAGUGUGGCCCGAGCUGGCGCUGCACUGCCGAGGCUCUGCCCAGAGCCUGCCGGCCAGGCAGGAUCUUGGUGGCAGGCACCGAAAGAGGGGCUGCCGCCUGCUGGUGGUGGCCGGCUCCGGGGAAGAGGGGACAGGGCUCCCCAGACCGCACCCACACUUACAGAGCCCCACGCUGGAGCUGCGAGCUUUGGGAAGGAGAAGGAAGAGGGCAUGGUAGUGGGGGUGUGGAAGGAGGAGUGGGUCAAACCUGGCCAGUCCCUCACCAGCGACAGAGUCGAGACAGGGGAGGUGCAGUGGGGGCUCCAGCAGCGCCCCAACUCGGGCCACCUUCUCUCUGCUGGAAGCACCGACUGGCAAGAGUUUCAGUUAACCAUUCACAGAGAAAACCUUGGAACUAUGCAUACAAAGGUACAGCUUUAUAGCAAGAAUGUGACUCCCAUACUAAUAAAGUCUCAGCCUUUGGAAUUAAGGGGACUUCGUAUCUUUUCUUCCAGGAGGAAUAACUUCACACUAAUGACAAAAGAUUAGGGGUAAUAACCAUCCAGGGUUCCCAGUAUUCAGUGUACUUUGUUUCCCUCUCCAUAUCUGCCACACAACAGAGAAGUGGACACUUAGCCCAUAUGUUAGACCUCUGAAUUAAGGCAAAAUUCAGAAUCAUUUCCCUUUCAAUUUUUUCCCCAAUUAACUGCAUGCUGAGGGGGUCAAGGCCUAGGCUCCAGCUCUUUGCUAAAGUGGCUCUUGACAUGUUCAUUAAUUACAAGCAUGUUGCCUCCUUUGCCACUGGUGGCUCAUUUGUCCCAUAGAUUUUUUUCCAUUUAGUGUAUUGGUACAUUUUAG
rnacentral:lncRNA from 1 species